CUGGAGUGAACGGUAAUGUAUAUGCGGCUCCUCGGCAUACCUCAACCUUCAAAAACAACCACAACAACACUCAAUAUGUCUAUUUCAGAUCCCUUGAUUAAAGAGCUGAAAGAUUUGGUUAAUGUCCACCUGGAGUCUUGCGGUGUCUUCAGUGGAGGACACUGUCAUGCAGAUCUGGGUGUCAUCUGCAAAGGAAGACAUGGUGCUGUAAAUUACAUCCCUGUCUAUGUCAGAUAUGAGGAUGAGGAACAAGAUGGGAGUCAUAUCCUUGAGGCAACUAAGGCAAGCUGUAAUGGAGGAGUAUUUGACACACAGCCAUUUCUCCUUCCACUGUGUCAGGUGCUGGAAGUUAUUUUUCGUAAAGGACUGAAUAAUGCUGUCCAUCUGGCAUUUGGCCUCACUAAACGGGAUUACUGGUCAUGGGUGGAGAGAACUGCUCAAACAUCUGCUGGUCUUAAGGGCACUUACAAGGCUACAGUGGAGGCUGUUGCCAGCAACCAGUGCGUGACAACACCACAAGGUCGUGGGCGGUUGUUCAUCAGACAUGCUCUUAAAUCAAAGUGUCUUCAUGUUCCAGUUGAAACUGUCGUACGCUUGAGAUGCAAUGAUGGUAUUUAUGAUGAAGAUUCCAUUAUCGGCAAUGAAAUAUUAGGGGAGAUUUUCCUGAGCCUCCUCUACCAGUGCUCUCACAUUAAUUUUGAGUUAAAGCUUGAAAAUGCAUCUUUCCUGGAUGAAACUUGGCAGCUGCCAAUCUACCAAGAAUAUGAACUGGUUCCAUGCAUGGAUUUAGGGGUUUAUCUUGGUCAUGUGAACGGAAGAGCAGUUGUGGUCAAAGUGGAAGAGGGAAGCGUGGCUGCUGAGGAUAAUAAGAUUGAGGUUGGAGAUGUGAUAGAUGAGGCUUUCGGCAUUUGCAUCAAUGGAUGGCGACGAGGGCGUGUUUCAUCUCUUUUGCGACAAAAAAGGGGUCUUCCUGUGUCUUUAAAAAUUAUCAAGGGUCACUAUGAUAAUGGUUGUGUGUAUCCUGGGGUAGUGCCUCUGCUUCAACGACUCCACCUUGAUGUGGAAAGUCUUCAGGAACAAUUUCGAGAAGUUGCUCUGGCGGAGAACCAGGAGACAUCCCUAAUUAAUACCCAACUCGGGGGCCAAACAGUGCAAUACUUGGGUAGUGUGUCUGUGGGUGGCUCUGGUGAUGUGUCACAGAUUGAACAUGCUGUUACUGCAGUCUCCAAUCAAAACAGACAACCUGUAGGCGUCUUAUUAAUAACAGGGGAAAUUGGUGUUCAGACCCUGCUAAGAACCAACAAAAAGAUGAUCCUCAAUCACAGCUACACCGAAAUAUCAUCUUGUGGCAGGAGGAAUGAUAUGCAAGAUUAUUUUGCUUAUAUUGCUGGGGAUACAAGCUGCACUAUAUCAUCACACUUCACCUGUUAUGUGUUUAGAGCAGCAUCAGUGGACCAGUCAAGAGACAUUCUCCUAACUCUUGAGAUCAGUCAGGUACUCAUGUUUGGGCUUGAUUGUUAGCAUGCUCAGCUCACACAGUAAGGAUCUGGGAUUGAUCCCUGGCACUGUGAAAUGUUGGGCAUAUUUCCUUUCACCUGCUGCUCCUGUUCAUCUACCACUGAUGGAUUCCAUAGAACACAUUGGGCCGUGUAAAUGACAUAGCCAUUCAAGUGGAUUCCACAGAACACACUGGGUUGUGUUGAAGAAGACAGUAUCGAUUUGAAGAAUGUGAUAAAUGGCAGUACAAAAAAGUUAACAAUUCCAUCGGCUAUCUUAUAAAAUGUUUUACAUUUUUUAAACUAAGUGGAAACAGUUACAAAGGAUUGGGCUUUAUGAAGCACACAACAUAUGUAGAAUGCAGCAUUCAUAACUGGCAUGUUCGUAAGUUAAUUGGUGGUAAAUUGAUAUAAUUUUAUAUAGGUGUAGCUGUGACGUAGAAUGUAUGACUUAAAUAUGUUUAUAGCUUUGUAACUAGGAGCAGACAUAUUUCAUUUGCAUAUUUUUGGUGUCAUUAAAUUUUUUUUACCCUUAUGCUUUUUAGAUAAGGGAUAAUCAUAUGGUACCACUGUUGAGGGACCAGCUGACUAUUUAUAGGAUUAUUGUACAUCCUCAGGACUUUUAUUUGUAGCAGGAGUUCCAGCCCAUUUCUGCAGAAUAUUCAUUGUAUUACAGUAUAUUUGUGAAUUUAAGAUAGGUCAUUUCUGAAAAUAAAAAAUAGGUUUCCAUAAAACCUGUUGUGCAUUAUUUCUAUCAGAACUAAUAUACUCAAGUUAAGGUUUUAAUAUUUUACAUCUAAUUUGCAGUUGCAUUAAGAAAUUGUUGUUAAUCUGGUUUGAUUGGUAAUGCAUUAAAUAAUGAGUUGGCUGAUGAAGCAUUUCAUUGUCUUGUAUAAUUUUGUUCUUGAACUUCAUGUCGGUCCCUAAAUAUCACUGGUAAUAUGAAGAUACUAGGUCACUUGGCUUACAGUUGUAUGUGUAACAAGUGAAGUGAGGAAAAGUUGAAAAAAAAUGAAAGGGAAAGCAUUGGGAAAUAAGAGUAUACCAAUUAAUAAUAUUCAUAAAAGUGCUAACUCAUAAAUUAUUCAAUCUCUAAAGUAAAAAAUGUAGAGAGCAUCCUUGUUACUGAUAACACUUUCAGAAGUUGGCUAAUAGAGUAAACACAGCAGGAAAUUGUGCAAAAGCGGCAUGGUGAUAGAAAAAUAAACCUGUAAUGACCAAUGCUCUCAGAUCGAGUCAGCAGUAUUUCAGGAAGAACUUUAUUGCCAAAAUAAGUUAAGGUUGUGGAAUGUAUUAUGUAGGAUGAAGCUACCGGAAGUACUUAUGGGCUUCCAAACAGACUAGAGCUUGUGAUUCUUUAUUUGUAAUUACAGGAGCAGAGGUAUCUUUGUGGUAUUCCAUCUUCAAUGUUUAAUCUAUCAAUAAUAUUUUCAAGUUUCCAGUUGUAGCACUUACUGACUUGUAAUUCAUUCCAUUGUUCUAUCACUCUUGUUAGUAAAUAAAUUAGUAUCUUUCAGGCACUGCUUUCUUGUUAGUUUACAAUUAUACAUCUUGUUCUUCCUGUUGAUGGUGCUAAGAAAUCUCUAUCUGAGACCUUAAACUGUAUAUGGUUAUCAUGUCAUUUCUUUACUUAUCACCCAGUGAGGUCAUUUCUAGCAUUUUUAGCCUUUCUUAACUCAAUUUUUAGCUCAAGAGCCAUUUUGUAGCUCAUCUUUUAGACUUUCUAUACUGUCCUCGUGUUUGUCAUAGUGUGUUGCAUGAUUGGUUUCUCACUAAUAUGGAGCAACAUAAUGAGUGUUAAUUGCUAUGGGUGUUUUAACUACUUAGGCAACUAACUAAACAAAAUAGUUACUUUAUAUACUUUAUAUUCAGUGACCACACAGCAUAAUCAUGAUGAGCCAAAUGUUAAUAUAAUAUACAUUUAUGAAAAUAAAUUGCCCCACAGAAAUGCUACUUUUUUAGAUUAUUGUCUUAAAGUGGAUUGAUCUGUGUGCUACUGUAUAGUUGGAUUUCUUGUGUCAUAUGAACGAUACCACAAUCCUCCUGUGUAGUUUUAUCCAAGGUGAUGGACACUUUAUGACCUGUUACAUUACAGUCACAAAGGGUCCUAUCAGAAUCUUUGGCCAUUUUCUUUUCAAACUUCCAGUAAUGGCCUAAACAUGUUUUCAUAAGUUUCAAAAAUUUAAUUCUUUCCUUAAUACAUAAUGUUGUAACAAGAAUUUAAUUAUUUCCUAAGUAUGUAACCAGGACAUUUUCUUCUUAAUCUUUAGGGAAUCUGAGUGUAUAUUUUCAGGUGAUUUGUUUAAAAUAUAAAGCUGUAUAUAAAAUUUAUAAGAAAUAUGCAGAUUCUCAAAUAAAUUAUUUUGAAAAAUACAGAAAUAGUAACUAAAGCUUUUAUCUAUUUUUUCUCAAGACUUCACAGAACAGUCAGUACCUGACCUGUACAUCACAAUAUUAAGGGCAGGUGAUCAAAUGUGCCCAGGUCUUCAGUCUGAUUAAAUAUUUAGAUAUUAUUUCAGCAUUUUACUUUCAAGCUUAAGGCAGCAAUAUCUUAAAUGGAAUAAGGCAUAAUAAAAUUGAUAAAUGUUAUGCUAUUUGAAUUUCAGUGAAAUGGCAUAACACAAAAUGUAUAAAAUUAAUCCCACAGACUACUUACACUCUGAUAUUUUACUUGGGUAAAUUUAAAAGACUAUCUACUAUUUAUUCUCAUUUUAUGACUUAUAAAUAAUUUUGUAGUUCCUGAGACUAUAAAAGAAUAAAGGAUUUCUGUUAUUUUGCUUUCUGUGCUGCCAUGUGAGGUUGUUUAUGUAUUCUAGUCAGUGUAUUGCCAAAGUAUAUUUCCGUUGUAUCUGAAACUGAAAAUUUACUUUAAUUUCAAAUCUUUGUUUUACAUAUUGUUUAUAACUGAUAAGUAUUAUUCAUUAGCACAGUAAUAUAAUUUCUUUUUAUUUGAUAUCCUCUUAAAUUUGGAAUUUAACUUUUAAGCUGAACGUUCUCUUCACUUUGGAUUUUUAUACAGUAUAUACAUUAGUGAAAAAAAUUAUAUUGUGUAAAAUAUUGACUUAA